AUUGAACGCUGGCGGCAGGCUUAACACAUGCAAGUCGAACGAGUGGCGGACGGGUGAGUAAUGUCUGGGAAACUGCCCGAUGGGGGGGGGUAACUACUGGAAAAGGUAGCUAAUAACGCAUACCAUCAGAUGUGCCCAGAUGGGAUUGGCUAGUGGGUGGGGUAACGGCUCACCUAGGCGACGAUCCCUAGCUGGGCUGAGAGGAAGACCGGCCACCCUGGAACUGAGACACGGUCCAGACUCCUACGGGAGGCAGAAGUGGGGAAUAUUGGACAAUGGGGGCAAGCCUGAUGCAGCCAUGCCGCGUGUGUGAAGAAGGCCUUCGGGUUGUAAAGCACUUUCAGCGGGGAGGCGUUACCCGAAGAAGAAGCACCGGCUAACUCCGUGCCAGCAGCCGCGGUAAUAC
rnacentral:rRNA from 1 species